AACCUCCGCAAUGUGAGAAAUCGCGACGGGGGGAUCCCAAGUGCCAUUCUUAACGGGAUGGCUUUUCAUUAGUGUAAAGAGCUUUUGGAAUAAGAGCUGGGCAAGACCGGUGUCCGCCGCCGCGGUAACACCGGCAGCUCUAGUGGUAACAAUUUUUAUUGGGCCUAAAGCGUCCGUAGCCGGUUUAAUAAGUCUCUGGUGAAAUCCUGCAGCUUAACUGUGGGAAUUGCUGGAGAUACUAUUAGACUUGAGACCGGGAGAGGUUAGAGGUACUCCCAGGGUAGAGGUGAAAUUCUGUAAUCCUGGGAGGACCGCCUGUUGCGAAGGCGUCUAACUGGAACGGUUCUGACGGUGAGGGACGAAAGUUAGGGACGCGAACCGGAUUAGAUACCCGGGUAGUCCUAACUGUAAACGAUGCGGACUUGGUGUUGGGGUGGCUUUGAGCUGCUCCAGUGCCGAAGGGAAGCUGUUAAGUCCGCCGCCUGGGAAGUACGGUCGCAAGACUGAAACUUAAAGGAAUU
rnacentral:rRNA from 1 species